rnacentral:tRNA from 1 species
AGUCCUAUGGUCUAGUGGUAUGACGUUCGCUUCACACUAGUGAAGUUCAAGCUUCUUGAAAGCGCGAAAGGUCCUGGGUUCGAUCCCCAGUGGGACUA